rnacentral:rRNA from 1 species
CAGUCGCCGCGGUAAUACGAAGGGUGCAAGCGUUACUCGGAAUUACUGGGCGUAAAGCGUGCGUAGGUGGUGGUUUAAGUCCGUUGUGAAAGCCCUGGGCUCAACCUGGGAAUUGCAGUGGAUACUGGGUCACUAGAGUGUGGUAAAGGAUAGUGGAAUUUCCGGUGUAGCAGUGAAAUGCGUAGAGAUCGGAAGGAACAUCUGUGGCGAAGGCGACUAUCUGGGCCAACACUGACACUGAGGCACGAAAGCGUGGGGAGCAAACAGGAUUAGAUACCCGAGUAGUCCCUGUCUCUUAUAC